rnacentral:rRNA from 1 species
AGAGUUUGAUCCUGGCUCAGGAUGAACGCUAGCGACAGGCCUAACACAUGCAAGUCGAGGGGUAACAGGGGCUUCGGCCCGCUGACGACCGGCGCACGGGUGAGUAACGCGUAUGCAACCUGCCUGUAACAGCGGGAUAGCUCCCUGAAAGGGGAAUUAACACCGCAUAAGACCACGCUCUCGCAUGGGGACGGGGUAAAAUAUUUAUAGGUUACAGAUGGGCAUGCGUGACAUUAGUUAGUUGGUGAGGUAACGGCUCACCAAGACUGCGAUGUCUAGGGGUUCUGAGAGGAAGGUCCCCCACACUGGAACUGAGACACGGUCCAGACUCCUACGGGAGGCAGCAGUGAGGAAUAUUGGUCAAUGGACGCAAGUCUGAACCAGCCAUGUCGCGUGCAGGAUGACUGCCCUAUGGGUUGUAAACUGCUUUUAUAUUGGAAGAAUUGCGCUUACGAGUUAAGCGUUUGACGGUACAUUAUGAAUAAGGAUCGGCUAACUCCGUGCCAGCAGCCGCGGUAAUACGGAGGAUCCGAGCGUUAUCCGGAUUUAUUGGGUUUAAAGGGUGCGUAGGCGGAAAUGUAAGUCAGUGGUGAAAUCCUGCAGCUUAACUGUAGAAUAGCCGUUGAAACUGUGUUUCUUGAGUACAUUUGAGGUAGGCGGAAUGUGGUGUGUAGCGGUGAAAUGCAUAGAUAUACCACAGAACACCGAUUGCGAAGGCAGCUUACUAAACUGUCACUGACGCUGAUGCACGAAAGCGUGGGUAUCANACAGGAUUAGAUACNCUGGUAGUCCACGCUGUAAACGAUGAUUACUGGUUGUCUGCGAUACACUGCAAGUGACUGAGCGAAAGCAUUAAGUAAUCCACCUGGGGAGUACGUCGGCAACGAUGAAACUCAAAGGAAU